rnacentral:rRNA from 1 species
GACGAACGCUGGCGGCGUGCUUAACACAUGCAAGUCGAACGGAAAGGCCCUGCUUUUGUGGGGUGCUCGAGUGGCGAACGGGUGAGUAACGCGUGAGUAACCUGCCCUUGACUUUGGGAUAACUUCAGGAAACUGGGGCUAAUACCGGAUAGGAGCUCCUGCUGCAUGGUGGGGGUUGGAAAGUUUCGGCGGUUGGGGAUGGACUCGCGGCUUAUCAGCUUGUUGGUGGGGUAGUGGCUUACCAAGGCUUUGACGGGUAGCCGGCCUGAGAGGGUGACCGGCCACAUUGGGACUGAGAUACGGCCCAGACUCCUACGGGAGGUAGCAGUGGGGAAUAUUGCACAAUGGGCGGAAGCCUGAUGCAGCAACGCCGCGUGCGGGAUGACGGCCUUCGGGUUGUAAACCGCUUUCGCCUGUGACGAAGCGUGAGUGACGGUAAUGGGUAAAGAAGCACCGGCUAACUACGUG